GCCGCAGUGGCGGAAUGGCAGACGCGCACGGUUCAGGGCCGUGUGGGGCAACCCGUAGAGGUUCAACUCCUCUCUGCGGCA
rnacentral:tRNA from 1 species